CAUGGAUAAUGCUAUAUUCUCUCGAACUUCAGUCCAUCCUUCAGAACAUUCCCUCUUGCUUAAAGAUUUCAUCAUUUAAGAACCAGAGUCCAGUUUUCAGCCUACGUGUAGAUGAGAAACAGAAAAGAGCACUUGCAUUAGCCAAUCCCUAUUAGCCGCCAGUAUGCUGGCCUGGGCAGCCAGCCAGUCUCUGAAAGCUAUGAGCGUCUUAAACCAGGCCAUCAUCUGCUAAGCAACGGAAACCAAUUGACAGGAAACAUCACCCACAUUAAAACUCCAGAACUGGGGGAGGGGAAAGAGGAUGCAGCCAGAUGCCAUUGUUUCAGCUUGUAGCUUUUUGAAAAGUGAAUCAUGUUUAAAUGUUUAAUGCUUUACAGUGACUGGGUCAUGUUAGCACCUUUCUAUGGGUUUAUUCCAUCACAGUUAACACAAGAGUAUCUUGCUUAUUCCAGGGCCGCCCAGAGGAUUCAGGGGGCCUGGGGCAAAGCAACUUUGGGAGCCCCUUCCAUAAAAAAAAGUUGCAAUAUUAUAGAAUACUGUAUUCUCGUGGGGGGCCCUGUGGUUCCCGGGGCCUGGUGCAAAUUGCGCCACUUGCCCCCUCUCCCCUGGGUGGCCCUGGGUUAUUCUGCAGCCAAUGCUGUUUCACCAAAUGAACAUAAAACUAUAUGCUUUGCUUUGUGUAAGCAGUUUAUAAAGGAACUAACUCAUUAUGCAUUUACAUAUAGAGAUCUUAGGGAGGAUUUAUUUUCUGAGGUUAUUUCUUUGAAUUAUGUUUCUCUUGUAGAUUUCUGGAUUUGACUUUUUGUCAUUUGUCAACAUAACAUUUGAAUAAAAUAUCUAUAAGGAA